GAUGAACGCUGGCGGCGUGCUUAACACAUGCAAGUCGAGCGAGAAAAGUUCUUCGGAGCUUUUCUAGCGGCGGACGGGUGAGUAACACGUGGGCAACCUGCCUCAUAGAGGGGAAUAGCCUUCCGAAAGGAAGAUUAAUACCGCAUAAUAUUGUUGAAAGGCAUCUUUUAACAAUCAAAGGAGCAAUCCGCUAUGAGAUGGGCCCGCGGCGCAUUAGCUAGUUGGUGAGGUAACGGCUCACCAAGGCGACGAUGCGUAGCCGACCUGAGAGGGUGAUCGGCCACAUUGGAACUGAGACACGGUCCAGACUCCUACGGGAGGCAGCAGUGGGGAAUAUUGCACAAUGGGGGAAACCCUGAUGCAGCAACGCCGCGUGAGUGAUGAAGGUCUUCGGAUUGUAAAGCUCUGUCUUUAGGGACGAUAAUGACGGUACCUAAGGAGGAAGCCACGGCUAACUACGUG
rnacentral:rRNA from 1 species